AUGGCCGGGGGGGCAGGAGGGGGGCCGCCCCGCGACUGGCUCUCCGUAGACGAGACGGCGGCGGCCUUCCUCUCCCGCUCCCUCUCCACGCGCCCCCCCAUCCUCCUCCCGCCGUCGCUCCACCGCGCGCCGCUCCGCCCGGGAAACGUUGUUGAGAUCGCCGGCCCGUCUGGCUCCGGCAAGUCCCAGCUGCUCCUCAUGUCUGCAGUGCAGUGCAUACUACCAAAGGAGUGGGAAGGUGUCUAUUUCGGCGGCCUGGGGAAAGCAGUCAUGUACAUUGACUUGGACUGCCGAUUUGAUGUGCUGCGGCUGGCUCAGAUCCUCAGGAAGCGCAUUGCGGCGGGUUGUGGUUCAGUGCAUCAUGAAGAAUUUGAAACUGAUGGUUCAAAAGAUAAAUUCCGUUUGUUUGAAAGUACACUGUUUUCUGAUUGCAUGAAGCGUUUCCUGUAUGUCCGUUGUUACAAUAGUUCCGAACUUAUAGCUGCUUUGAAGAGUCUAAAAUCUCAAUCUGAAGCCAGGAACGAAAUUUUUGAUAUUGGUGUAUAUUUCCUUAUGUUAGACAGCAUUGGCGCAUUCUACUGGAUAGAUCGUGCUCUUCAACCUACUAGAGAGAGUAAAGGGAAAACUCUAUCAUUUCAGAGUAUCACCGAAACUGUUGUCCAGGAGAUACACAAGUUUUUGCAACUUCAACCUAUUUUGGUGUUGGUCACAAAGGCACCUAUUUAUGGUGAAGGAAUCACGACAUCAAACGACUUCCAAAGGGGUUCUCCAAAGUACAUGUCAGAGGAUUCAACACCUUUGGGAUAUCCGAAACGGGAAGAAGAAAGAAAUGGUUCAUGUCGCGAAUACAUGCCAUCUGCAUGGCAGACAUUUGUUACACACAGGAUAAAGUUGCAAGAUUUAGCACAAGAACCAGGGUUUUUCUCUGAGCAGGAAAAUGCAAUCCUUUCUGUGCAUACUUGUGAGUGGGUGCAGCCUUCCCUAAACUCAAAAGAGAAGUUCUAUAUCAAGGAUGACGGUGUUGGCCUUAUACAGUGA
rnacentral:rRNA from 1 species